GACGAACCGUGCGAACGUUGUUCGGAAUCACUGGGCUUAAAGGGCGCGUAGGCGGUCUCCCAAGUCCGGGGUGAAAUCUUUCGGCCUAACCGGAAAAGGGCCUUGGAUACUGGGGGACUCGAGGGGGGUAGGGGCAAGCGGAACUUCCGGUGGAGCGGUGAAAUGCGUUGAUAUCGGAAGGAACGCCGGCGGCGAAAGCGGCUUGCUGGACCCCAUCUGACGCUGAGGAGCGAAAGCGUGGGGAGCGAACAGG
rnacentral:rRNA from 1 species